UACGGAGGGUGCAAGCGUUAUCCGGAUUCACUGGGUUUAAAGGGUGCGUAGGUGGGUCUGUAAGUCCGUGGUGAAAUCUCCGAGCUUAACUUGGAAACUGCCAUGGAUACUAUAGGUCUUGAAUACUGUGGAGGUUAGCGGAAUAUGUCAUGUAGCGGUGAAAUGCUUAGAUAUGACUAGAACACCAAUUGCGAAGGCAGCUGGCUACACAAAUAUUGACACUGAGGCACGAAAGCGUGGGGAUCAAACAGG
rnacentral:rRNA from 1 species